rnacentral:rRNA from 1 species
CAAUGAUGCAUAGCCGAGUUGAGAGACUGAUCGGCCACAUUGGGACUGAGACACGGCCCAAACUCCUACGGGAGGCUGCAGUAGGGAAUCUUCCACAAUGGGCGAAAGCCUGAUGGAGCAACGCCGCGUGUGUGAUGAAGGCUUUCGGGUCGUAAAGCACUGUUGUAUGGGAAGAAAAGUUAAGGUAGGGAAUGACCUUAGCCUGACGGUACCAUACCAGAAAGGGACGGCUAAAUACGUGCCAGCAGCCGCGGUAAUACGUAUGUCCCGAGCGUUAUCCGGAUUUAUUGGGCGUAAAGCGAGCGCAGACGGUUGGUUAAGUCUGAUGUGAAAGCCCGGAGCUCAACUCCGGAAAGGCAUUGGAAACUGGUUAACUUGAGUGCAGUAGAGGUAAGUGGAACUCCAUGUGUAGCGGUGGAAUGCGUAGAUAUAUGGAAGAACACCAGCGGCGAAGGCGGCUUACUGGACUGUAACUGACGUUGAGGCUCGAAAGUGUGGGUAGCAAACAGGAUUAGAUACCCUGGUAGUCCACACCGUAAACGAUGAACACUAGGUGUUAGGAGGUUUCCGCCUCUUAGUGCCGAAGCUAACGCAUUAAGUGUUCCGCCUGGGGAGUACGACCGCAAGGUUGAAACUCAAAGGAAUUGACGGGGACCCGCACAAGCGGUGGAGCAUGUGGUUUAAUUCGAAGCAACGCGAAGAACCUUACCAGGUCUUGACAUCCUUUGAAGCUUUUAGAAAUAGAAGUGUUCUCUUCGGAGACAAAGUGACAGGUGGUGCAUGGUCGUCGUCAGCUCGUGUCGUGAGAUGUUGGGUUAAGUCCCGCAACGAGCGCAACCCUUAUUGUUAGUUGCCAGCAUUCAGAUGGGCACUCUAGCGAGACUGCCGGUGACAAACCGGAGGAAGGCGGGGACGACGUCAGAUCAUCAUGCCCCUUAUGACCUGGGCUACACACGUGCUACAAUGGCGUAUACAACGAGUUGCCAACCUGCGAAGGUGAGCUAAUCUCUUAAAGUACGUCUCAGUUCGGACUGCAGUCUGCAACUCGACUGCACGAAGUCGGAAUCGCUAGUAAUCGCGGAUCAGCACGCCGCGGUGAAUACGUUCCCGGGUCUUGUACACACCGCCCGUCACACCAUGGAAGUUUGUAAUGCCCAAAGCCGGUGGCCUAACCGUAAGGAGGAACCGUCUA